UUAGUAGUUUAGGUUUAAGUUUUUAGAGGACAAAAAUUAAUAGAUAUGCUAAAAAUUUGUCUACCCUGUCUCUUUCUCAUGGAGGUCUUAUGGAAAGUAUCCGUAAGUAUAUGGAACGGAUUGGAAUAUGGUACAUCGUUAUUGGAAAUGUGGAACAGUGAAAAAGGUACAUGUUUCUUCAAUGGGAUCUCAAAUAUAUAAACAUUAUGCUGAAUAGGAACAUCUUAAUAAGUCAAAUAAGACAUAAUAUAAAUAUGGUGAUAAUAUAAAAGGGAGCAAACUGUAUAAACCAGACAGUCAGUACUUACACGACUAACUAAAAUGGCUAAAGUCUGCCUCCUUAUUCUAAUUGUUGCAAUAGUAGCUCUGUCUGUAACAUCAAAGCCAUUAGGAGAUGGCACCUUUCCCUUGAAGAACAGCCUAAACAUAUUCCAGUAUCAAACCUGUGAUUUAAAAUUUCCACUCUAUUGUCAAGAAAUGUGUGAAAUGGAUGGCUACAAUACAGGAUACUGUCUAAGUGGAGAAUGCAUUUGUCAAAAUUGAUCUAUAUUUUGAAUGUACGAUGUGAUACUCUACCCUAAUAAAUAAAUGAACAAUAUUAUUAA